rfam:Leeuwenhoekiella marinoflava DSM 3653 genome assembly, contig: EJ63DRAFT_scaffold00027.27
AAGAGCCGUGUAAGGGGAGACUCUUACGCACGUUUCUGUGAGGGCUUAGAAGGGAAGUUCUUCCACGCUAGUCGACUGGCAACUUGCU